UCCAAGCCUUCACCAACUCCUUACUACUACAAAUCACCUCCACCUCCCUCACCAGUUUACAAGUAUAACUCACCACCUCCACCCGUCCAUUAUUACUCACCUCCAUAUUACUACAAGUCACCUCCUCCCCCCGUGAAAGCGGCACCAACUCCUUACUACUACAAAUCACCUCCACCUCCCGCACCAGUUUACAAGUACAACUCCCCACCUCCGCCAGUCCAUUACUAUUCACCUCCAUACACCUAUAAGUCACCUCCUCCUCCUGUGAAAGCAGCACCAACUCCUUACUACUACAAAUCACCUCCACCUCCCGCACCGGUUUACAAGUACAACUCACCACCUCCACCGGUCCAUUAUUAUUCUCCACCAUACUACUACAAGUCACCACCCCCACCAUCUCCAUCACCUCCUCCACCAUACUAUUUCAAAUACUAUUACAAGUCCCCACCUCCACCAUCACCAUCCCCUCCUCCACCUUAUUAUUACAAAUCUCCUCCUCCACCAAAACAAAUUUCACACCCUCCAUACUACUAUAAGUCACCACCCCCACCAUCACCAUCACCUCCUCCACCAUACUAUUAUAAGUCUCCACCUCCACCAUCACCAUCUCCCCCACCACCUUAUUAUUAUAAGUCACCACCCCCACCAUCCCCGUCCCCUCCUCCACCAUACUACUACAAGUCUCCACCUCCACCUAAAGAAAUAUCACAUCCUCCAUAUAACUAUAAGUCACCACCCCCACCAUCACCAUCCCCUCCCCCUCCAUACUAUUACAAAUCUCCUCCACCACCAUCACCAUCACCACCACCUCCCUACUAUUACAAAUCACCUCCACCACCAUCACCAUCACCUCCCCCUCCAUACUAUUACAAAUCUCCUCCACCACCAUCACCAUCACCACCACCUCCUUACUAUUACAAAUCACCUCCACCACCAUCCCCAUCACCACCACCUCCAUACUACUACAAAAGUCCCCCUCCACCAUCUCCAUCUCCUCCAUCCCCAUAUUACUACAAAUCUCCACCACCACCAUCACCAUCCCCACCCCCUCCCUACUAUUACAAAUCACCUCCACCUCCCUCACCAUCACCGCCACCUCCUUACUAUUACAAAUCUCCCCCACCUCCAUCUCCAUCUCCACCACCUCCUUAUCACUAUCAAAGUCCUCCUCCCCCAUCUCCCAUUUCUCAUCCUCCCAACUACUACAAAUCCCCUCCACCACCAUCGCCAUCUCCUCCACCUCCAUACCAUUACGUGAGUCCUCCCCCACCAGUAAAGUCACCUCCACCACCAGCUUACAUCUAUGCUUCUCCACCACCACCAAUCUACAACUAGCCUCACAACACCAAAUCACCAUUGGUGAUAAAUUAUGUAAGUUUACCAUUAUUGCAAUCAUAACACUUGCAUCUUUUCCCACCCAUACACACACAUAUCACAUGUUUAAAUUUUAUGUACUAAUCAACAAAAACUCUUAUUUGUUUUCAGGUUCUAGUUUUCAUCAAGGAAUAAAGUCGUCCAUUUGGAGCAAAGUGAAACAACUAGCUCUCUGUCCAAAUUAUUUGAUGGCCAUCUUGCACUUCCUAAUCUUAUUGUGUUCAAGUGACUGGCUAAUCAAAAUGUGGAAGCGAGAUUAAUUUAUUUAUUAUCUCUUUGAUUUAUAUGUGCAUAGAUUGAUAUUUCCCUGUAUGAUAACUUUAUUUUUAUUGAGGAUUUUUUGUAUUGUACCCUGUUGUGUUUGUUAAAAUAAGUAUUAUCAAUGAAGAAUUACCUUCAAUUUCUUUCCACCUAAUUAGUUCUUGUUUCUUUUAAACAACUAUCAAGCAUGUCAGCAAGGCAAAGCAUACCACUACCACCAUAUCACCAUAAAAUGCAUCAUUAUUCAUUGCAUAUGAGAUAAAUAUAUGCAAACUAUAUCUAAUUAUUAAGAGGGGGAAAAAACUAAUGUACAGAAAAUGUACCUCAAGGCUUCAGGAUAGGUGUUAGAAACCCAAGCUUUUAAUAGCUCUCUCCAAGAAUCCUCGUUUCUACAACUUAAGUUCCUAUAUUAAUCAAUUAUAAUAUAUGAGAAACUUAUGUUGUCGACCAACAAUACAGGUGACUCAAAAAAAUAUUAUAUUUUAAAAGUCAAACCUUGAGCUAUACACAUGUAAGCAUCAUCAAUAUAAGUUUCACCAUUGUUCAUGUGUAUUAUUCCAUAAAUUUUGGCUCAGUUGAGGUUACUACACUGGUUUUCUUCCUAUUGUAUCAUAUAUUUAAAUACUAUGGUGCGUUUGGAUAAACAGCUUAUGUCACAAGCACUUAUCAUGAUAAGCGCUUUUGUAUAAACUUGCAUGAGUUAUUUUCAUAUCAAAAGAUAAACAAGAACAUUAAAUUGUUUUUGUAUAUUACUUAAGUUGUUUUCAUAAGCUAUGUUGAAGAACUAAUGAAAAUUAGCUGAAAAAAGCUUAUGCUGUUUUCAUGAAUUCUCCCUAACAGUCUCACAAUAUUUAUGUCAGUAUAUAAUCAAAUAAGUCAAUCCAAACAGGCCCCACGUCUUCUAUAUUAGACCAUAUGACAAUUUCUUUUCGGUUUAUUCUCAUUAAAAGUUAAAAAUGGUGUAUUUGAAUCCUAUAAUUCUUUGUCAUACAAGUGCAUUCAAAUACAAUUUGAAGCCAUGGUGAAAGUGUUUAAUUUGCAGAGCUCACCAACAUAAUCUAACGUAUAUUUGGAUUGACUUAUUUGAACUUAUCUACUAGCACAAAUACUUGUGAGAUUGUUUACGAAAGUUUAUGGAAAAAACUUACAACACACACAUAAGUUGUUUUCAGCUUAUUUCCAUAAACUCUUCAAAAUAGCUUAUGAAACAACUUAUAUGAUAAGAGCUUAUUCUAUAAGCGCUUAAUUAAGUUUUAAUCCAUUCUUCUUCUACCUUCAUCUUCAGUUAACAAAACGAAUACAAUUUCUGAAAAUUCAAAGUUCAAACACCAAAAAAUACCUAAAAUGAAAAAUUGUUGAAUGAAAGCGCAAAUAGAACCUGGCAAUGCGUUCGAGAAGCACGUGGAGGAGGUGGCGUGGCAGAAGAAUGUGUGGAUUUCAUCGGAGAAUUUCAGUUCUGCUCGCGCCAUUUAAGAAAUUUUGUAAACUUAAAGUUUAGUUUAAGUUUACCCCUCUUUUUUUUUCAUUUUAAAGGAGUUUACCCUACAAAUUUUUGUAUGUUUUUGCCACGUUUACAAAUGAUUUAAUAUGUUUUUAUCCUAUAUAUAUUUAGGGAUGUAAAUGGAUAUUAUGAUGCGGAUAGUGUAAUAUUUGUGUCUGUUCCAUUGGAUAAAUAUGAAAUCUGUACCAUAUUCAUAUCGUACGGAUAUCUGUUUAGCGGGUAAUCCACAGAUUUUGAGAUAUUUGAGUGUUUAUAGAUAUAUUCAUUGAUAACAUUUAUAAAAAUAAAAUAAAAAAUUUGUUUAAUUCUUUUUAGAGACAAAGGUUCUUCAUAUGCAUUUUCUUUUCUUUUUAACAAAACAUAAUAUUCAUACAUUAUAAUAACAACAAAGAUCAUUGACUCAACAAAAACAUAAAUAAAGUUGCUUACAUUUAAUAAAAAUAAAGUUAUUUGAUUUAACAAAAACAAAGCUCUUGCAUCAACAAUCCCAACCACUUUCACUUCCUUUUAAAAGAGUGUAAUAACAAAUAACACUCACAAUACAUAAGGUUUUUUUUUAGGAAGUUGAAUGAUAUUAAGGUUAUUUAUGUAAUUUACUCGGUUUAAUAGUCGGUAUGGAUAUCCACGGGUGUGGAUACCGUUAAAUCCGCAUCCAUAUCCAUUAAUUAGCAGGUAGUUAAAAAAUUCAUUUAUUUUAUCCAUUGAUAUCCAUUAAGGUAUCCGCUCCGUGCCCGUGACGGAUUAUAUCCGCGGAUAUUCACGGGUGCGAAUUUUUUUGUCAUCCCUAUAUAUAUAUAUUAGUCUUAAACUUGACUAUUUUUUAUUAUCAUUUGGUGCUAUAAUUAAAAAAAAAAAAAAAAUAUUGUUCGUCUGAGCCAUUUAGCUACAGGCUAUUACUUUUCUCAUUCUACAUGUUUCUCGCUUGUCCUAUUUUUUUUUUAAUACUUUUUGCUCGAAUUCUAAAAUCUAAACUCCUAUAGGGAUUUUUGGAUUCUAUAAUCCAAAACACGUUGAAACCCAAAAAUAAAAUAAAAAACUAUGUAAUUGAAAUCAAAGAUCUCUACUGCUAAUGCACGUUUUCCACAAAAACUACAAAGUAAUUUCAAAGUAAUUUCACAAAAACUAUCGUAUGAAUAGACAGCAAUGAGCAUGAUAUCAUAAAUAACUCAAAACUUUAUAAAAAUAAAAAUAAAAAAAUGAAUAAGAAGAUGUGAAGAAUGAAUGUAAACGUUGGAGGAUACAAAGCUAUUUAUAGACAUAAAAUGUUCCUAGACUCUAAAGUGGGUCAAAGAAAACAUGAAUAACAUUUACAACUUAAUUAACACAUCACAGAUCAUUCAAACCUUUGGUGUAACAUCAUCGUAUGUAGUCUGGCACAGUUUGGAUUAUACAAUCUGAACAUUUCAUAAGCAGUUUGGAUUAUAUAAUUUGAACUAUCCCAGACUGUGUUUCAGCUUGAUGUUUGGAGGGUUUUGUAUGGUGGAUAACACAAAAAAAUGACAUAAUUCAACAACGUAAAAAAUAUAAUAAGAUAAGUGAUGAUGAAAGGGAAGCCGCACCAAGAGGUGUUUUUGAAUUCGAUCCAGUUGUCCUAUCAACUGACAUAUAUUUCUAUUGGCAUGGCAGCAAGAUCAAGUUUCAAAACGACCUUUUUGUGUUCAUAUCCGCAAAAUAAUGAUGAAAGGCAAGGUAUUCCAAGAAGUGUUUUUUAACUUGAUCUCGCUACCUUGUCAACUAACAUAUUUCUAUAGACAGUGCAGCAAGAUCAAAUUUAUAACAACCUCUAGGUGUUCAUAUCCGCUAAGUAAUUUUUCGUAGUUCUUUAUUGUGAUCUACAAAAAAAAAAAAAAAAAAGAUCUAUUUAUAUAAGUUUAUGUGCGUCGCGAACCAGAUAAAUUUUCGAUGCAUUGUGGACCAAAAAAAAAUUCUAAUUCGGACUAAACAAGAUGAAUUUUCCUUCACCCUAGAAAGUAAAAGUUUUGACAAACACAAGACUGAUUAUACAUUAAAUACAACAAUCAGCCAAACUAAACAUAUUAGAUCACAAAUCUUUCAAACUAACUUCUUCAUUGGAUUCCUCCAAGAGAGCCUUGAUUUAUUUGUAUGUUCUAGGCCGAAUCAAUUUUUUUUAAUAUCUUUGAAAGGGCCCGACCAAGAAAACAUCCAACUCAAUUGGUCAUUUAAUACCGUACUGACCAAAUAUUAAAACAUUAUUCUCUUAUCGCAUUGUUCCUGAGUUUAAUCUAGGUAAACUAGAUGCUUUCAUCUUAGCCAAUCGAUGGACUUUGAUGCUCAACAUUGUCCAUCCUUCUUGUGUCUGUGUUGUUGAGUCGACGGUUGAUUUAGUCCAGCUAAUAUUGGACUUUCCCCCAUUGUAGUAAACUACAGUUAGUUUGGUGUCAGAUCAAUGAUUGAAGUGUUCAUGAUUAUUUGGUGUGGUUUAUAGCAAAUGAAAACAAGCACACCAAUUUAUAGAAGUUUAUGUGCGCCGCGGACUACAAUAACUAUUGGUGCAAUGAAGACCAUAGAAAAAGCAUGUACUUGGCUGAUUUGGAUUAUAUAAUUUACAUUGUCCCUCACCCUACAAAGUACAAAUUUCAACACAAUAUUGAACCAAUUCGGAUUAUAGAAUCCAAUCAUUUAUGAGAUAAUUUCGGAUUAUAUAAUUAAAACUAGUUCACAAUGUGAACCGCAGCUUGGUCAGCAAGACUAACUCAUUAAAAAUGUUUUUUAAGUUGGUGAACGACGCUUGACUGGUCAGCAAGACUUGAAAACAAUUUUCGUACCAUGCAUUAAUGGACCAUUACCCUCUAUGAAAUGUACUUCACAAAUUCUCCUUCCGAAUACCCACUAAUACAUCACAAAUUCUUAUUUCAUCUCACAUUCUCUCGUUCUUUUUACUUCUACAAUGUGCUUCCAUAGUUUGUGUUUCAUACAAAAAUGUUACUCUAAUAUUUUAUGGAUUGUAUGAAUGGUCAAAAGGCAAAAAUUGGCACCAUCUGUUUGGAUGUAAGGUUGAUCAUCAAAGUCUAAUCCACUAAGAGAGGAAACAAACCUUACCCCAACCUCAUUCCCCAUUCAUCUUCUUGCACCGCAUGUUUAAAUGAUACUCCCUCCGGUCCUAUUUAUAAGAGAAAGUUAGGUCAACAAAAGUUGAUGUAUCUGAACUGAAUUUUUAACCGGAUACAUCAACUUUUGUUGACCCAAAUUUCUCUUAUAAAUAGGACCGGAGGGAGUAUUUGUACAACCAUUUUGGUACAACUUUUGUACAACUUUCUCUCUCAUACUCACAUUAUGUUUUUAUUCUCUCUCUUACUUUUUUUCUCUCCAUUGUGGUUGACCAAUAAGAAGGGAGAAUAUCAAGGUUGUCACAAAAAUUGUAACAAAAGAGUUGUUCAAAUAUCAUUACUCUUAUCAUUAUGUGUUAAAUAAUUUUGUGUAAUAAGCUUCAAUGACAAUGUAAAUAUACAAUAAAAGAUAUAAAUUAUUCAUAAAAUGAAAAUUUUAUUCAUUUAUCUUUUUAUAUUUUUGUCUCUUUUAGUUUCAGUCAUUUUCAAUUAUGCAUUCUUAAUAUUAUGUCAAUGUUGAUCAAUAAUUAUUGGCAAAAGAAGUUUUCAUGUUAUAGAAUAUGAAAAUCCCUGGUACCAAAAAAAAAAAAAAUCUGAAAAUCCCUCUAUAGGAUUUCAGAUUUUAGAAUCCGACCAAAUGGUAUUUUGAAGAGAGAAAAAUAGUGUGUCUAAGUAACUCAUGUUGAGAAAAGUAAUAGCCUUAAUUAUGUCUCCGAUAAACAUUUUAUUCCCUUCCGUUAAUCAGUUAAUCCCAAAUGUCUAAGGUGAACCAAUAUUAUAGGUGGUCUACCAUAAACCUCAUAACAAUUUUAAGGUCAAAUACCACUUUUGGUCAUUUUAGUUUGACAGAAUUCUCAAGUUAGUCAUUUAAGUUUCGAAAGUUUCAAUUAGGUCCUUUUAGUUUGACAGAAUUCCCAAGUUAAUCCUUUAAGUCAUAAAAUUCAGGGGAGCAAAGUAGAUACUCCAGUUUUCAGAGGCGGAGACAUAGUCAUGUCAAAAGCAUCCCACAUCCUAUUACCACCUACUUGAACUCAUCAAGCUUGGUAUGGACCAUUCACAGUAACAUGUGUAUGUAGUCUCGUGGAGAUCUGGGACAAUAUCAAAUGGCAUGCUAAGGUGAAUCGACACAAACUGAAGCAUGUUAAAGAUUGCAUCCGGAAAAUGAAAGUUGAAGAAGAUGAACCUGCUUUGAAGAGGUUCAAGGGCACAACAUAGACUUAUUCUCCAUGUUCAAGAUGUAAAACACGCAUUGAACGAGAGACAACCCAUUAAUUUAUUUUCUCCGUUAUUUGUCUUGUGUCAUUUUUGCUCGAAUUUUUUGCCGUCAAUUCUUUAUGAAUUAUCAGUCAUAUUAUAUUACACACUAGACAAUUUUUUUGGUACCUUGAGCCUUUUCAAUCCGCCCUUAUCAUCAUUAUAUCCUUUGCUAAAUCCCUUUGAGCUUCCAUGCAUUAUUUCUUUUGUUUUUUUUAUUAAGUAACAAAUCAUGUCACAAGUUUGAACUUUUAAUGCCAUCUAUUUGAUUUCUUUUAUAGUUAGAUAGAAUAUUUUUAAGAACUUGGUAUGAUUUGAAUAUAUGUUAGGGUUAUAAGGGAGAAAUGUAAUGGCAAAGAGGAAGAGCAAGAAAAGAGAUGAAAGAUGAAGGGACAUUAGGCAGACUCAAUCACGGUAGUUAGAAUGAUUGCCUUCUGUUUUGCAGUAAUUUGCAUGAGCUUCACUUUUCAAGUAGAGUAAAAAAAACAGGAAUAGAUAGACACAUUUCUUCUAAGUUUGAGUAGUGAGUGAUAACACUUCUAUGUAAUCCCUAAAAAAAAACACUUCUAUGUAAAAAAAUCACAUGGGAAAUCCAUUCCUAUAGUACACGUAAUUUUGAUCUGGAAGGUUGACUUUUCAACAAAAUAACCUAAAAUAAUUUGUUCAUAACAUAAUAGAGGAAUCUAGAAGUGUUCGCGGUGCGGUUUGAUUCGGUUUUGAGCAAAAAAGUCAUCCAAACCGCGCGAUAAAAAAACAUGUGGUUUGGUUCGGUUGAUUUUUAAAAAAUCAUCCAAACCAAACCAAACUAAACCAAUACGGUUUGGAUUGGUUCGGUUUGUGCGGUUUAUCGCGAGAUAAAAAAAAAAUAUUACAUUAACUCUAAUAUUUCCAAAUUGUUACAAAAUAAACAUAGAACGUUUUUUUAUUUAUUUUUAUAUGAUAAAAUAUUAGGUAAAACUCAUAUCAAAAUAGGUAAAAUUAAGAAGAAUUUAUAAGCAUGAAACAAAUUAUUGGAAAGUAAAGGAAACAAAUUUAAGUAAUAUUCAUUAUUCUUGCAGCUAUGUAAUUGGGCUAGAAACAUUUUAUUUUGAUGUUUAUAUCGAACAUGAUGGUGCAACAAUGGAAAAAUCAAAUCAAAAAAGAUUAUUCUUGAGCUAUGUAAUUGAGCUAGUACAUAUUUAAGUAAUAUUCAUUAUUCUUGCGGUUUGGUUUGGUUUGAUUCGGUUGCUGAGAUGCAAACCGCAAAUCAAACCAAACUGUAUGUUUUAGUGCAAAAGUCAUCUGAAUUCAUCCGAAAUCAAGUACGAUUUUUUACGAUUUUGAAUUGGUUUAAUUUGCCGUUUUUCUAUUGGAUUGGUUCGGUUUGAACGAUCUGCAUGAAUUCUUCUAGUUGAUUGUUGGACUAUUUUUAAUUGGCAAAGGCUUAGUUGUCCAUUUAUAAAUAUAAAUACUAUUAUUACAUUAUCCAAUCCAAUAGCACCAAAACCAAUAUAAUAAUGGUAAUUUGCAAUUUUGCACGUUUCAUUCAUUUAUUGGUGCCUUAAUUUUGGGUUACAGACCGACAUUGAUCAGUUGCUAAAAAACCACUGCAUCCUUAUUUUUUACGAGGUAGAUGCAUCGGACAAAUAAACCGACAAACAAAGCUAUUCAGAAAGUGCUCAGAAAUUUUUUGUGCCCCAACAGAAAAUAUUAAGAAAGUCUUGCUACACAGUGUCUUGUAUACAAGUGAAAUAUGUGUGGUAUUAUGCACAAGUUUAUUUUUACAAGUUGAUAUAAGAAUCUAAGUAUAUUUUUAUGGAAAAUUAAUGCUAACAAAUACUUUCAAAGCAUUGUUUAAGCAAUCAAUAUUAGUAACUUUUGCAUAGAAAUAUGUGUGAUUAUUAUUUUUUCAUAUGUUUUAUAUGUUUUCAAGAAAAUAUUUUUAUUUAUGGUUUUUUUAAAUAGUGUCCUUAGGUACUUGUUAGCAAAAUCUUAUUUAUAUAAGUUGAUCUAAGAAUCUCAUUAUUGUAUCGAGUGAGAUACGGCCAUACCGAAGCUUAUGGAUUCCAUAGUGGAAAAAUAACUUUUCAUCAGUGCAAUACUAUUUUAGUUGUAGAAUUUCUUUUCUUGUGUGUCCUAUUUCAGAUUUUAAAAUCCAAACAAUCGAAGGUUUAUGAAGGUUUUUCGAACAUUUUCGCACUGUUUGAAUUAUAUGAUCUGAAAUGUCAUAGAACAUGCGAGAAGCAAGUUGAAUGAAAUAAAAAACUCCUGCUCAAUAGAAUUAUUUUACUUGGUUAUUGUUUGAAUUUUAUUCUCCUUCAAAGACGGCAAUGUGCAAUUGUGCAUUUCAUCCGGAGAGUGGCAACAUCUCAUGCAUGUUCAUCUCAUAUAACUGAGAAGUCACAUGGCUUGGAAAAUCUUAAACCGAGAAAAACAAAAGGAGUAAAAGUAAUAAUAGUGAACCAAAGUGAAGAUGAACUUGUAGUCUAUCAAAAGAAGAUGAACUUGUUCGUCUUGGCAUAGUAACUCAUUUUUAUUCCUUGUUACCUAUGAAACACGGACAAUAGAUACAACACGGACACCAAUACGUUAAUACCGUUAAUAAUAUAAAAAAAUAGGUACAUUGAAUAAUUAAUGUAUUUGACCUAUAAAUGUGACCAGAUAUAUUAAUUAUUCAAUGUAUCUAAAAAGUUGGUUUUUGUUUAUAAAUAUGAUCAUAUGGAGUACUACUUUAGUGUAAUUUUAUGUAUUGGUACUGCGAGACAUCUAAUCUAAAGAGUGUCAAUGUUUUCACACAUAUUACUCACCAAAGUGCACACAUUAUAUGCAUUUAGGUAAACUGAGUUCAUCCAAAAUUGUAACCGCACAAACAGAGGGCCGCUAGGAAAUAUGAGGUAAAUUUGGAUUAUUCUUUAUCAAAAGCUUAUGACCAAAGAAAAACUAUACAAAAACUAAUGUUCAAAAAGUACAUAAAGUAAUAAUGCAAAGUCAAUGUGUAUAUAUAUUUCACCAUUAAAUAAAAGGGGAAAAAAAUCUCCAUACACAGCUUGCAAUAGCUACCAUCAUGGCCUAAAGCAAAUAUCAUAUGACCACUAAAAAACAAUAGAAAAUAAACAAAUAAAAAGAGAAAAACAAAAGAGAAAAUGGUAUAAAGAAAUCAUGUAGUAGUUAGUUUUUUCUCAAGAUGGGCAACUCAGCAGGGCUGCUAGGAGGAAAUUACAAAAGAACAUGACACUUAACUUCUCUAAUCAUUCAAAAUUUGUCAAGAUGCUGAUUAUAUAUUUUAAUUAGUAGUUAGAGAUUGUUAUAGUAACGUGUUCUAGCCAUCAAGAAUAAAACAAUGUCAUGGAAAAGAAGUGGCCUACUAGAAGAAUUAAUUUAAAGCAUUUACACCAAAAUAAAAACAAAUUGAAUAUUGGAAUUGGUCCUUCAUGAUAGCUUCCCCUUAACAACUAACUCUAACUAUAAAUACUGAAUCUUGCAUGCAACAUUUCAUAGUAAACACUAAGACCAAAACCUCUUCUUUCUAUCCAUGACUGCUAGGGCUAGUUGCCCCAAAAUGGGGCAUUUUUGGCCACAAAUGGCAAUGGCAUUGGCCAUUGUUUUGAUUUCUACUACUAUGGUUUCUGCUUCUGAUAGCUACAUUUACUCUUCGCCUCCACCACCUUAUGAGUACAAGUCCCCACCACCGCCGUCUCCCUCACCACCUCCUCCUUAUGUGUAUAAGUCACCACCUCCCCCAUCCUCGUCACCCCCACCACCAUAUGAGCACAAGGCUCCAUCUUAUGAGUACAAGUCACCACCACCACCAACUUCUUCACCACCACCUCCUUAUGUAUACAAGUCACCACCACCACCAUCUCCUUCACCGUCACCUCCUUAUGUGUACAAGUCACCACCACCUCCAUCCCCAUCACCCCCACCUCCUUACGUGUACAAGUCACCACCACCACCCUCGCCUUCCCCGCCCCCACCAUACUAUUACAAGUCUCCUCCACCACCCUCGCCUUCCCCACCGCCACCAUACUAUUACAAGAGUCCUCCACCACCCUCUCCUUCACCUCCACCUCCUUACUACUAUAAAUCGCCUCCACCACCCUCACCUUCCCCUCCCCCACCAUACUAUUACAAGUCUCCUCCACCACCAUCUCCCUCACCACCUCCUCCAUAUUACUACAAGUCUCCCACACCACCUUCACCCUCCUCUCCACCCCCAUAUAUACACAAGGAUCCACCAUACUAUUACAAGUCCCCACCACCCCCUUCACCAUCUCCUCCACCACCAUACUACUAUAAAUCUCCCCCACCACCCUCACCCUCUCCACCCCCACCUUACUAUUACAAGUCUCCUCCACCACCUUCACCAUCUCCUCCACCACCAUACUAUUACAAAUCUCCUCCUCCUCCAUCUCCUAUUCCCCAUACACCUUACUAUUACAAAUCUCCCCCACCACCUUCACCAUCUCCUCCACCACCAUACUAUUACAAAUCUCCUCCUCCUCCAUCUCCUAUUCCCCGUACACCUUACUAUUACAAAUCUCCCCCACCACCUUCACCAUCUCCUCCACCACCAUAC
rnacentral:lncRNA from 1 species